GACGAACGCUGGCGGCGCGCUUAACACAUGCAAGUCGAACGGUGAACCGGGCUUCGGCCCGGGGAUCAGUGGCGAACGGGUGCGUAACACGUGGGCAACCUGCCCCUCACUCUGGGAUAACCCCGGGAAACCGGAGCUAAUACCGGAUACUCCGACCGGUCCGCAUGGUCUGGUCGGGAAAGGUCCGCCGGUGAGGGAUGGGCCCGCGGCCUAUCAGCUUGUUGGUGAGGUAACGGCUCACCAAGGCGACGACGGGUAGCUGGUCUGAGAGGACGACCAGCCACACUGGGACUGAGAUACGGCCCAGACUCCUACGGGAGGCAGCAGUGGGGAAUCUUGCGCAAUGGGCGAAAGCCUGACGCAGCGACGCCGCGUGGGGGACGAAGGCCCUCGGGUUGUAAACCCCUUUCGGCAGGGACGAAGCGAACGUGACGGUACCUGCAGAAGAAGCCUCGGCUAACUACGUGCCAGCCGCCGCAGUAAAAC
rnacentral:rRNA from 1 species